rnacentral:rRNA from 1 species
UACGGGGGGGGCAAGCGUUGUUCGGAUUUACUGGGCGUAAAGGGCGCGUAGGCGGCCACCGCAAGUCGAUUGUGAAAUCUCCGGGCUUAACCCGGAAAGGUCAACCGAUACUGCGGGGCUAGAGUGCAGAAGGGGCAACUGGAAUUCUCGGUGUAGCGGUGAAAUGCGUAGAUAUCGAGAGGAACACCUGCGGCGAAGGCGGGUUGCUGGGCUGACACUGACGCUGAAGUGCGAAAGCUAGGGGAGCGAACGGG